rnacentral:lncRNA from 1 species
GCGAACGGGAAAGUGAGCAGAGAGGGAGAGGCAGAGUCUGGAGAGAGCGCAGCAGAAAAGGAGACAAAGAAAAGGCCGGACGAACGGCGAGCUGCGCCCAAGGAAGGGGGCUGUGAGCACUUGCUAAUCUCCACCCCAGCCCAGCUCUCUGCACCGUGGGCUCUAAUCCUGUUCCCAUAUUUUGGUUUCCAUUGUGAACCCACCAGUACUUUUUUCUCUAAGGAUAUUCUAUCCCCCUGACCCCCAUCCACCUGUGCUGCUGCUGCCGGGGUCUCCUCUCCUGCUCUAUGAAAUAUCUUCCUGCUCCUACCACCACAGCAGAGAUUACAGACCCCACUGGGACAGGGAGGACAGUGGAGGUCCUGGUGCAUUCAUCCGUGCCCGAAGCAUGUGGCCCCCGGCUUCUCCAGCAGCGGCGCCGUGUCCAGCUGUGCUCAAAGCAGAGCCCUGAAGCAUGGGAUCGUUCUCCAAGACCAGAUGGCGCCUUCCCAGAGGGAUCGGCCAGAGACCGCGUGACGAGCCAACAGCAGCAGAGUGCACGGUGACGGCAGCCUGGCUCGCUCGCUCGCUUUCCUUCGCCUUUUGGGUAUUGCUGAGACGGUGGACGAUCUCUUUCACGUGACGGAAAACCACAAAGGAAACAAAACAAAAACAAAAAUCCAACCUCCCCAGCGGGAGGGAGAGCGCAGGGUGUGUGACUCGCUCCCUGACCUUCUGCCACUCAACUGAAGCAAAGCACAACCUGGCCACGGCCAGCCAGACGCCUCUCCCUUUCAAGUGGCAGAGCCCGAUUCUCCUUUGGGUGCCUCAGCCCCAAAGAGCAACCAUGCUGAGUUGAGCUCAGAUUUCUCCAGGGCCUUGUCUAUGUAACUCACUGGUUACAGGUCCCCCGCUGUGCUCAGGGCACCUGUUACAGCCCUACCUCGGGAGCUGCAGCUCAUGUUUAUAGCUUUGUAAGUCCCCACUGCAACCCCUGGGGUGUUGGCCAGGACAGCUACACUGGCUGUAAGUCACCGCUGGUGGUAGCCACGGGGGAGAGGGCUCAGAUGUCUUUGCCCUGUGUUGCCUGACUGCUCUUAACAGUGCACCAGUAGGGCACUGGAGAACCUGACACUGCAGGCCUGUCUCUCCCUAGCUGCCACUGGUCCCUGUUUGAACUGGGAUGGCGACAGGAUAUUGACAAAAAGCCGCAGGUGACCAGAGUUCAUGAGAGGGAAGUAUCCAUCCAGAGCUCCCUCUGUGUCAUCUCCAGUCACAGGCCUGCUUAAAGCACAAUGUGUCUCAACCCUGGAUCUUAAAACCCACGUCAGCUCCCUCCAAGUCCUGACUCUUCCCAGCUUUGCUGUGGGUCCCCCCCCCAUCUUUACUUGUCUCCUCUUAUUGAGAC